rnacentral:lncRNA from 1 species
CUCCGCUGGCCCGCGUGAAACCCUCUCUGCUGCCUCGACUGACUGUCGUUUCCGUGUCUUGAUUGUGGCCUCUGCCUCUCCCCCUUCCGAUUUCGUUCGACUUCUUUCUACAGUUACUAAGCGCCCACUGUGUGCCCUGGAAGGGACUAGACUCAGCAGGAAAAACAUCCAGGCAAGUGGACAGCAUUUGCAACAGCCCAGCAAUAAGAAGGACCAUAUUCUACUUGGGAAAAGGUAAAGUCGUUUCAUAUGGACGGAGAUGUUGUCGCUUGAAAUGUCAGGAAGUUUCCAUUCAUCACCCGCCCUUGAAAAUGCCACCAUCACCAUACUUCAUGUUUCCUUGCUUUCUUUCUUCAGAGGAAUCCAAGCACCUUGCAGAGGGAGCCCACUCCUUGUCACAG